UCUCCGUAGGUGAACCUGCGGAGGGAUCAUUAACACAUCCAAACCAAUUACCAAAACCAAACCGUGAACCAAUUUCCCAUUUUUUUAACCCCAUACCAACACUUUGACUAACAAUUGAUGAGAUCCGCAAGCGGUGUGCGUCUGCUCUCACGAGCGCGACCUCCAGCUUCUCUCAUUCAAAUUUUAUAACAAAAACCAAAGAACAACUCUUAGCAAUGGAUAUCUUGGUUCUC
rnacentral:misc_RNA from 1 species